rnacentral:rRNA from 1 species
GACGAACGCUGGCGGCGUGCUUAACACAUGCAAGUCGAACGGGAAGACAUGAAGAGCUUGCUCUUUAUGAAAUCCAGUGGCAAACGGGUGAGUAACACGUAAACAACCUGCCUUCAGGAUGGGGACAACAGACGGAAACGACUGCUAAUACCGAAUACGAUUCUUGAGUCGCAUGACACAAGAAAGAAAGGGUGGCCUCUACUUGUAAGCUACCGCCUGAAGAGGGGUUUGCGUCCGAUUAGGUAGUUGGUGAGGUAACGGCCCACCAAGCCGACGAUCGGUAGCCGGUCUGAGAGGAUGAACGGCCACAUUGGAACUGAGACACGGUCCAG